AUUGAACGCUGGCGGCAGGCUUAACACAUGCAAGUCGAGCGGAGAUGAGGUGCUUGCACCUUAUCUUAGCGGCGGACGGGUGAGUAAUGCUUAGGAAUCUGCCUAUUAGUGGGGGACAACAUUCCGAAAGGAAUGCUAAUACCGCAUACGCCCUACGGGGGAAAGCAGGGGAUCUUCGGACCUUGCGCUAAUAGAUGAGCCUAAGUCGGAUGAGCUAGUUGGUGGGGUAAAGGCCUACCAAGGCGACGAUCUGUAGCGGGUCUGAGAGGAUGAGCCGCAACACUGGGACUGAGCCACGGCCCAGACUCCUACGGGAGGCAGCAGUGUGGAAUAUUGGACAAUGGGCGAAAGCCUGAUCCAGCCAUGCCGCGUGUGUGAAGAAGGCCUUUUGGUUGUAAAGCACUUUAAGCGAGGAGGAGGCUACCUGGAUUAAUACUCUAGGAUAGUGGACGUUACUCGCAGAAUAAGCACCGGCUAACUCUGUGCCAGCAGCCGCAGUAAGAC
rnacentral:rRNA from 1 species